rnacentral:lncRNA from 13 species
UGACACAUUACAUCAUUGUCAUUCAUUAUCACCUUUCAAGUGUCACAGAAAUGGGGAGGGGUGGGUGGUGAAGAACUCCUGGAGAGGGAGAGAAUCUGAGAGACUGUUUCAGGAAGAACAAGACUAGCUGAUGUGGCUCAGCAGGGGAACAGAAGGGGGCUACCAAGAUGUUGAAGAAAGGCCCUCGCUGGAUAGGAUGCUGCCCACCCACAUGAGGAAGGGGGAUCUUCACUCAGUGCUGUGGUGUGAAUGUGACAACUCCUCCAAAAUCCAGAUCUCGUCAAGGUGAUAGUAUUAAAAGACAGGCCAUUAACAGGUCUUUAGCUUGCUCUUUAGCUUUUUUGCCUUGCAAGGACACAGCAUUCCACCUCUCUAGAGGAUGUAGUCUCACCAGACAACCUAAACUGCCAGAGCCUUGGUCUUGAACUUUCCAACCUCCAGAACUACAAGAAAUAAAUAUCUGUUCUUUAUAAAUUACCCA